rnacentral:tRNA from 1 species
AAGUCAUUUAUAUAUAAUUAUGGUUAUAUAAAUAGUA